GGCCACAUCAUGUUGAAACACCGGUGCCCGUACGAUCACUGAAGUUAAACAACGUAGAACUUGGUCAGUACUUAGAUGGGUGACCGCUUCGGAAUACGAGCGGCUGCAAG